ACGGGUGAGUAAUACAUCGGAACGUGCCCAGUAGUGGGGGAUAGCCCGGCGAAAGCCGGAUUAAUACCGCAUACGACCUACGGGUGAAAGCGGGGGAUCGCAAGACCUCGCGCUAUUGGAGCGGCCGAUGUCAGAUUAGCUAGUUGGUGGGGUAAAAGCCUACCAAGGCGACGAUCUGUAGCUGGUCUGAGAGGACGACCAGCCACACUGGGACUGAGACACGGCCCAGACUCCUACGGGAGGCAGCAGUGGGGAAUUUUGGACAAUGGGCGCAAGCCUGAUCCAGCCAUGCCGCGUGUGGGAAGAAGGCCUUCGGGUUGUAAACCACUUUUGUCAGGGAAGAAACGGUCUGAUCUAAUAAAUCGGACUAAUGACGGUACCUGAAGAAUAAGCACCGGCUAACUACGUGCCAGCAGCCGCGGUAAUACGUAGGGUGCAAGCGUUAAUCGGAAUUACUGGGCGUAAAGCGUGCGCAGGCGGCUAUGCAAGACAGAUGUGAAAUCCCCGGGCUCAACCUGGGAACUGCAUUUGUGACUGCAUGGCUAGAGUACGGUAGAGGGGGAUGGAAUUCCGCGUGU
rnacentral:rRNA from 1 species